UAAUAACAACUUUACUACUUUCAAAAUGAUAUGUCAUUUUCCUGUCUAACAUCUUAGCUUUUGUAGAAACGGGAAUUCAUUGGAGAACGUUAUUUUUCGUCCUUUGUUUUUAGCGACUUUUCAGAAGCAAUUUGUCACGAUGCCACUAACACCUGCCGAAAGACAAAAGUUCUAUCGGGAAAGGCUAAAAGAAAAAAUACUAAAAUGUUUUUAGCCCAGAAGAUAAAAAAUGCUGAGAGAACAAAACGAAAGAGAAAGAAUAUAUCAGAAUAUUCACCGCCAGAACAGGAAAAUAUUAGAAAACAGUGGAGGGAGAGAAAAAAGAAAAGCAAAGAAGAAAUUAAAUCUGAAAAAGUUCCUACAGUUGACAAUGCAGCAAUUUUAAAACAGAAGAUAAAUCAAAAUAGAAGAUUAUAUUACAAGCUAAAAACUAAAAACAUAACAUUUAAACAGCGUUUAAUACAAUCGAAGAAAUCUUUGAAAAUAAUUCAGCAAAAAUUGACAAGAUAUCAACGAAAAAACGAUGAGCUUCUUGAAAUUAUCAAGGUAAAAGACAAAUUAAUAAGUGCAUAUGAAGAAAUUCUGAAUUUAAAUGCUAAACUCAAAAGGAAGAAGAGAUUUUAAACAAAUGACCCCCUUCGCGAAAACGGAUGCUUAUAUCUAUCAAAAUUUACCUUCUAUAGGCCCUGAAGAAAAGGAAAGAGUGAAAAAACACUGCUUGAACAUCACGUCAUUGUGGAUAUUAUACAGAAAAUUUACAAAAGUAACAACGCAGAAGAAAAACGCACGAUAAAAAAAAAUAUUUAGCAAUAAUGAGACCAUAAAUAGAUACGGUAUGAAAACCAAAAUGGCUACCUAUUUGGCCUUAAAAGGAAAUAUUCGUCAUACACGACAGAAAAUUAAAAAUUGCUGUGUACAGAACCUUUUCAGAGACUUUUAUGGGAGGGAUUAGUAAAAGAGGGUACUGAACAGUUAUUUUAUGAAGAUGAAAAAAAUAUAGACACUUAUUUAGAAGGUACUGAAGUAAGUGAAAAGACAGAAUUUGUAUUAGCAGUUCCUCAGAAGAAUGAUACAAAUGACACUGAAUUGACGUUGGAAGGUCGACCAGACAUAUUGCGGGUAUGUUUCAAAGGCACUGUACUUGUAUGAUACUACCAAAGAGACACAUGGAAAUAUUACAUCGGUUUUAUUGAAGAUAUUCGAGUUGUAGAAGAAAAUACGAUUUUUGAAACCAAUCCUAAAAUUUGUUCAAAAAAUUAACGAUCAAGACACAUUUACCGAAGAUUUAAUUGUAAAACUCAUUAAGAUUACGCAAAAUACGGAACGGCCAAAAGAAUACUUUUUGGCUGCUGCUAGCGACAGCUUUUAUUUUGAUUAGGAUAUAAUAAUAUUUUUCUUAGUUAAAUAAACAAAUUGGUGCA